UGGAGAGGAUAAGCUGACGUAAUACAACGAAGGUGUUGGAGAGGAUAAGCUGACGUAAUACAACGAAGGUGUUGGAGAGGAUAAGCUGACGUAAUACAACGAAGGUGUUGGAGAGGAUAAGCUGACGUAAUACAACGAAGGUGUUGGAGAGGAUAAGCUGACGUAAUACAACGAAGGUGUUGGAGAGGAUAAGCUGACGUAAUACAACGAAGGUGUUGGAGAGGAUAAGCUGACGUAAUACAACGAAGGUGUUGGAGAGGAUAAGCUGACGUAAUACAACGAAGGUGUUGGAGAGGAUAAGCUGACGUAAUACAACGAAGGUGUUGGAGAGGAUAAGCUGACGUAAUACAACGAAGGUGUUGGAGAGGAUAAGCUGACGUAAUACAACGAAGGUGUUGGAGAGGAUAAGCUGACGUAAUACAACGAAGGUGUUGGAGAGGAUAAGCUGACGUAAUACAACGAAGGUGUUGGAGAGGAUAAGCUGACGUAAUACAACGAAGGUGUUGGAGAGGAUAAGCUGACGUAAUACAACGAAGGUGUUGGAGAGGAUAAGCUGACGUAAUACAACGAAGGUGUUGGAGAGGAUAAGCUGACGUAAUACAACGAAGGUG